rnacentral:rRNA from 1 species
UGCAUCGGAACGUAUCCUGUAAUGGGGGAUAACGUAGCGAAAGUUACGCUAAUACCGCAUACGCUCGAGAGAGGAAAGUGGGGGAUCGCAAGACCUCACGUUAUAGGAGCGGCCGAUGUCCGAUUAGCUAGUUGGUGGGGUAAAGGCCUACCAAGGCGACGAUCGGUAGCUGGUCUGAGAGGAUGAUCAGCCACACUGGGACUGAGACACGGCCCAGACUCCUACGGGAGGCAGCAGUGGGGAAUUUUGGACAAUGGGCGAAAGCCUGAUCCAGCCAUGCCGCGUGCGGGAAGAAGGCCUUCGGGUUGUAAGCCGCUUUAGUCCGGGAAAAAGGGGUGCGAGGAUAAUACCCUCGUGCUUUGAUGGUACUGGAAGAAUAAGCACCGGCUAACUACGUG